UGCAGCAGUUACUGGACCUACAAAUCUCACACAAAGGCUACAGGCUACAGUGAUGUACUUUUGAAGCACUGAGGAUAUGUCUCACACAAAGGUUACGUCGAUGUACUUCUGAGGGACUGAGGAUCUAUAUGUCUCACACAAAGGUUACAGCGAUGUACUUCUGAAGGACUGAGGAUCUAUAUGUCUCACACAAAGGUUACAGUGAUGUACUGAGGUAUUCAGGAUCUAUAUGUCUCACACAAAGGUUACAGUGAUGAACUUCUGAAGCACUGAGGAUCUAUAUGUCUCACACAAAGCUUAUGAGUGUCAUGAUGUGUACUACAGGUGUUAUCUAUGAGUGCCAUGUGUACUAAAGGUGUUAUCUAUGAGUGUCAUGUGUACUACAGGUGUUAUCUAUGAGUGUCGUGUGUACUACAGAUGUUAUCUAUGAGUGUUAUGAUGUGUACUACAGGUGUUAUCUAUGAGCAUCAUGUGUACUACAGGUGUUAUCUAUGAGUAUCAUGAUGUGUACUACAGGUGUUAUCUAUGAGUG